GACGAACGCUGGCGGCGUGCUUAACACAUGCAAGUCGAACGAAGUGGCGAACGGGUGAGUAACGUGUAUUCAACCUGCCCUUCAGAGGGGGACAACAGUUGGAAACGACUGCUAAUACCGCAUACUGAAGAUGGGGUUUGCGUCGGAUUAGGUGGUUGGGGGGGCUACGGCCCACCAAGGCGAUGAUCAGUAGCCGGUCUGGGAGGGUGGACGGCCACAUUGGGACUGGGAGACGGCCCAGACUCCUACGGGAGGCAGCAGUGGGGAAUCUUCCGCAAUGGAGGAAAGUCUGACGGAGCAACGCCGCGUGAGUGAUGGCGGCCUUCGGGUUGUAAAGCUCUGUUAAUCGGGACGCGGUACCGGAAGAGAAAGCCACGGCUAACUACGUGCCAGCAGCCGCGGUAAUUC
rnacentral:rRNA from 1 species